GUGAGGAAUAUUGGUCAAUGGGCGCGAGCCUGAACCAGCCAAGUAGCGUGAGGGAUGACUGCCCUAUGGGUUGUAAACCUCUUUUGCAGGGGGGUAAAGUGGUUCACGUGUGGACCAUUGCAAGUACCCUGCGAAUAAGGAUCGGCUAACUCCGUGCCAGCAGCCGCGGUAAUACGGAGGAUCCGAGCGUUAUCCGGAUUUAUUGGGUUUAAAGGGAGCGUAGGCGGGGGUUUAAGUCAGCUGUGAAAUGCCGUGGCCCAACCAUGGAACUGCAGUUGAAACUGGACCUCUUGAGAGUACAUAAGGAAGGCGGAAUUCGUGGUGUAGCGGUGAAAUGCAUAGAUAUCACGAAGAACUCCGAUUGCGAAGGCAGCUUUCCGGGGUACAUCUGACGCUGAAGCUCGAAAGUGCGGGAAUCAAACAGGAUUAGAAACCCGGGUAGUCC
rnacentral:rRNA from 1 species